GGUUUUCACUUGAGUCACAAGGUUUCCUUCUCUGAAACCUAUUACGGUGACCGGAACCACCUUGCCGGUGGAUUCGAAGUACGUCAUCAUGCCCAAUUUGGUACCCAUUAACCCGACUCCGGCCUCCAUGCUCAUUUGGAUGGAGGAAGGUCUGCGGCUGAGGGAUUUGGUGGUUAUGAUAGGGGUUAUACGGAUAGGGUUGAAGAAGGAGGAGUUGGAGCAGCGGAGAGAGGCAUGGUUAGUUCGGGUUUUGUGAAGGCGGAGGGGGAGGAUUGCGGCAGGAGAGCAAGAGGAGUGAGAUUGAGGUGUGAUGGUGGUCGUAAUUGAAGAAAUCCGACCGGCGACGGACAUGGCUUACGGGUUUAGCUUCUUAAAGUGUGAGAAAGAGAGAGGGGUUUCAGAUGGAGAAGAUUUGAG
rnacentral:lncRNA from 1 species